UGCCCAUGAUUGAAGAUGGCCAUCCCACA
rnacentral:piRNA from 1 species